GGCCCGGUAGUUCAGUUGGUUAGAACGCUAGCCUGUCACGCUAGAGGUCGUCAGUUCGAGCCUGAUCCGGGUCGCCA
rnacentral:tRNA from 7 species